rnacentral:tRNA from 1 species
GUUUUAAUAGUUCUAAAAAAAACAUCGGUUUUGUAAACCGAAGUUAAGCCUAACCCCCGCUUUUAAAACU